rnacentral:tRNA from 1 species
GGGGAUUUAGCUCAGUGGUGGCACACUUGCCUUGCAAGCAAGCACAAGGUCCUGAGUUCAAUUCCCAGUACCCCCC